rnacentral:rRNA from 1 species
UAGUCCACGCCGUAAACGAUGGAUACUAGCUGUUCGGCUUCGGCUGAGUGGCUAAGCGAAAGUGAUAAGUAUCCCACCUGGGGAGUACGUUCGCAAGAAUGAAACUCAAAGGAAUUGACGGGGGGCCCGCACAAGCGGUGGAGCAUGUGGUUUAAUUCGAUGAUACGCGAGGAACCUUACCAGGGCUUAAAUGUAGAGUGACAGACUGAGAGAUCGGUUUUUCUUCGGACACUUUACAAGGUGCUGCAUGGUUGUCGUCAGCUCGUGCCGUGAGGUGUCAGGUUAAGUCCUAUAACGAGCGCAACCCCUGUUGUUAGUUGCCAGCAUGUAAAGAUGGGAACUCUAACAAGACUGCCAGUGCAAACUGUGAGGAAGGUGGGGAUGACGUCAAAUCAUCACGGCCCUUACGUCCUGGGCUACACACGUGCUACAAUGGCCGGUACAGAGGGCAGCCACUACGCGAGUAGGAGCGAAUCCUUAAAACCGGUCUCAGUUCGGA